rnacentral:rRNA from 2 species
GGGUUGUGAGGUUAAGCGACUAAGCGUACACGGUGGAUGCCCUGGCAGUCAGAGGCGAUGAAGGGCGUGCUAAUCUGCGAUAAGCGCCGGUAAGGUGAUAUGAACCGUUAUAACCGGCGAUACCCGAAUGGGGAAACCCAGUGUGACUCGUCACACUAUCAUUAACUGAAUCCAUAGGUUAAUGAGGCGAACCGGGGGAACUGAAACAUCUAAGUACCCCGAGGAAAAGAAAUCAACCGAGAUUCCCCCAGUAGCGGCGAGCGAACGGGGAGGAGCCCAGAGCCUGAAUCAGCAUGUGUGUUAGUGGAAGCGUCUGGAAAGGCGCGCGAUACAGGGUGACAGCCCCGUACACAAAAGCGCAUGUGCUGUGAGCUCGAUGAGUAGGGCGGGACACGUGGUAUCCUGUCUGAAUAUGGGGGGACCAUCCUCCAAGGCUAAAUACUCCUGACUGACCGAUAGUGAACCAGUACCGUGAGGGAAAGGCGAAAAGAACCCCGGCGAGGGGAGUGAAAAAGAACCUGAAACCGUGUACGUACAAGCAGUGGGAGCACCCUUUGGGUGUGACUGCGUACCUUUUGUAUAAUGGGUCAGCGACUUAUAUUCUGUAGCAAGGUUAACCGAAU